rnacentral:rRNA from 1 species
UGGGGAAUCUUGGACAAUGGGCGCAAGCCUGAUCCAGCCAUGCCGCGUGAGUGAAGAAGGCCUUCGGGUUGUAAAGCUCUUUUACCAGGGACGAUAAUGACGGUACCUGGAGAAUAAGCCCCGGCAAACUUCGUGCCAGCAGCCGCGGUAAUACGAAGGGGGCUAGCGUUGUUCGGAAUUACUGGGCGUAAAGCGCGUGUAGGCGGGUCGUUAAGUUGGGGGUGAAAUCCCGAGGCUCAACCUCGGAACUGCCUUCAAAACUGGCGACCUGGACCUAAGUAGAGGCAAGUGGAAUUGCGAGUGUAGAGGUGAAAUUCGUAGAUAUUCGCAGGAACACCAGUGGCGAAGGCGACUUGCUGGACUUAUGGUGACGCUGAGACGCGAAAGCGUGGGGAGCAAACAGGAUUAGAUACCCUCGUAGUCCCUGAGCGGGCUGGCAAGGCGCAU